rnacentral:rRNA from 1 species
GAGGCCUGCCUGCCCAGUGACAAACGUUCAACGGCCGCGGUAUCCUGACCGUGCAAAGGUAGCAUAAUCACUUGUUCCUUAAUUGGGGACUGGAAUGAAUGGCCUCACGAGGAUUCAACUGUCUCUUACCUCUAAUCAGUGAAAUUGACCUCCCCGUGAAGAGGCGGGGAUACAACAACAAGACGAGAAGACCCUAUGGAGCUUUAAUUUUCUGUCUUAACUACUAAAUAACUAACCCUACUGGGAUAAAAAAAGAGAAAUAAGUCAGUAAUUUCGGUUGGGGUGACCUCGGAGAAUAAGACAACCUCCGAAUGAUUUUAACCAAGACAAACAAGUCAAAGUAUUAAAAAUCAAAUUGACCCAAUUCAUUUGAUCAACGGACCAAGUUACCCUAGGGAUAACAGCGCAAUCCUAUUCAAGAGUCCAUAUCGACAAUUAGGGUUUACGACCUCGAUGUUGGAUCAGGACAUCCCAAUGGUGCAGCAGCUAUUAAUGGUUCGUUUGUUCAACGAUUAAAGUCCUACGUGAUCUG